UCCACACCCUCUUCUGACCACCAAUGGGCAUCAGAGUCCACAGACAUACAUUUGAACCUCACAGACAGAAACAGGGGUAUGUCUCCUUGGUGACUAACUCAUCACCGGUCUAUUCCUGUCAACUUGAUACCCAAACCUAAUCGGAAGGAUCACAUGACCACAUUGAGGGUGCACCCAAAGGCACGCCUUCGUGGAGAUUCUCGGUGCAGUUAAAUUGCCAAUGAAGACUGAUCACAAUAGUCUUGCUUUGAAGUGGUCUUCACUAGGGCAUCAGGGUUAGCCUUCUCUAGUCUGCCAUCCUUAGCAAGAUGAUACCAUGCAAAGGCCAAUCCAUCCAGAGAUGUGAAGAAGUCAGAACCCCCACACAGCACACAGUGAGAAGGAAAAUGCUGCAGUCAUUUGAUAAAAUAGUCUAGCAAUUCUUAAACUGUUAAAUAUAGGUCUGCCAUGUAAUCCAGCAGCUCCAUUUCUGGAUGUGUCCCAUAGACAUAUGAAGACACAUGUCUGUGUAGAAGCUUAACCAUUUGUCUAUAACUUCAAAAUAAAAGAUCAACUAUCAGCAAACAAAAGAAUAAUCAGAGUAUACAAUAGACACACAAUAAAAAUUGGUUUGGUACCAAAGUAUUGAUACAUGAUACAACUUCAAAGAAUUUGAGAAUAUUAAAAAUGAAUAAAGUAAGUCAUAGUAGAUAAUACUAUUCCAUUCAUUUUAAGGUCCAGAAAAGGAAACACUUUUAUAGAGACAGAAAUGUAUUAGUGAUCAUUUAGGAUGGAUAGGGAGGAAAAGCCAAAGGAUGUGGUUUUUUUUUUCUUUUUAUCAUUUUUAAAUUGGUAACUGUUUUCUGACAUUGACAAGUGACAAUUUUUCAUAUAUUUGUAAAUUUGUGACUAUAUUAAAAUUGAUAUUUCUGAAUUAUAUCUCAAUAAAGCUAUAUAAAAAAG